UACAGAGGCCUCGAGCGUUAGGCGGAAUCACUGGGCUUAAAGCGUGUGUAGGCGGACUUCUAAGUACCUUGUGAAAUCCCACGGCUCACCCGUGGAACUGCUCGGUAUACUGGUCGUCUUGAGCCUUCUAGGGGCGAGUGGAACAAAUGGUGGAGCGGUGAAAUGCGUAGAUAUCAGGAGGAACACCCGUAGCGAAGGCGGCACUCUGGGCCGAUACUGACACUGAGGAGCGAAAGCGUGGGGAGCGAACAGG
rnacentral:rRNA from 1 species